rnacentral:rRNA from 1 species
GACGAACGCUGGCGGCGUGCUUAACACAUGCAAGUCACGGGGGCCCGCAAGGGUAACCGGCGAACGGGUGCGUAACACGUGAGCAACCUGCCGAUCUGAGGGGGAUAGCCGGCCCAACGGCCGGGUAAUACCGCAUACGUUCUUUUGGUCUCAUGACCGAGAGAAGAAACCUCCGGGGCAGAUCGAGGGGCUCGCGGCCUAUCAGCUAGUUGGUGUGGGUAACGGCCCACCAAGGCGACGACGGGUAGCUGGCUGAGAGGAUGGCCAGCCACAUUGGGACUGAGAGACGGCCCAGACUCCUACGGGAGGCAGCAGUGGGGAAUCUUGCGCAAUGGCCGAAAGGCUGACGCAGCGACGCCGCGUGGAGGAUGACGGCCUGGUU